GGGUAAUUGCCUGUAAAUCCCUAACGUUUACACGGAAUUGGUUUUUGCACCUUUUUUUAUUUUUCUUCUUUUAAAUACCUAACCUUUAGUUUUUGUCUAGAAUUUAUCCGGCGACCGGUUUUUUCUUACGCCGGCGCCGGAAAUGCCACUGUGGCAGUCGGAAUCGACGAGGUGGCAGCCGGAAUUCUCCACUUGGCUCAUUUUUUACAUGUGGCAAAAAAAUCUAAACAAAAAAAUGAAAUAAAAAUACAUGUGGAAAUAAAAAUUUUUAAAAAAAAGAAAACAAAAAAGGAAAAUCAACCCCCUUCCCCCCCAAUCAUCAUUUCCCUCACCCCAAACCCUAACUCUCCCUCUCCCCACCCGGCGCAGCCCCCUG
rnacentral:lncRNA from 1 species